AAUCAUCUGUGGUUUUAUUUCAGAUUUAUUCGGGCCGUAAUGAAGACGCGACGGGCCCCGGGCCGUAACCGACGGCGACAGGGUGACACUGAUGAAUGGCUGAAGUCCUCUCUGUCAGCCAAGGACAAAUCGACUGAGCCAACUCAAUGCUUCAAGCCUGGCAGCUUCCAGUCAUCUUGUCAAUCAAUGAAUCCAUACGAAGCUCGUCUCACCCAGUCCUGACACAGUAUGGCACAGCACUUUUUGAAGAGCACAAAAGAACAUGGAUACAUCAUCAUACACAACACUGUGGCAACAAUAUGACAGCAAGUUUGACUAAGUUCUCACCCAGCACUAAAAAAACACUACUGGAAAUUGCUGUUAAAGGAAUAUUUCACUGAAAAUCUGUCUUUUGAGUAUCAAAUACUCCUAAACGUAUAUAUAGCUUGCUCCUUCGCAGAAGAUGGCAGCUCUAGUCAGCUCUAGUCAGCUCGAAUCACAUCAUUUACAAUUAUAUUCCAUUACGACGGUGGACCAAUGUGCUUCUCUCACCACUGGUUAACACCGCUAGUUGUAGAUGAGGAUCCUCCGAAGCCACACCCGCUCUCAGCCAUGUUUUUUUGUUUACGCUUGACGUUGUGUACCUGGAACGCAUGGAGGUCAGAAAUCGGAAAUUUCAACUGGGAAAUUCCGACCUCCAACGUUGAGUGAAAUGCAGCAUUACUAGGAGUCAUGCAACACAUCCUCAAGACACUGUGAGAGCCCCGCGUUUCCGGUGCAUCAAUCCUCGUGUCAGUGCCUGGGCCUCGGUGUCGCCGAGGAGUGAUGGCCGUGCGGUGAUUAUAACGGAAUAAAAGGACGUAAUGAAGUGCUUUCCGCCCCGUUAUUCUCGUGUGCCCGGCUGCUGUCAGCCACCUCCACGCUGCCUUGAUGAGCCACUCCUCCCCCUCUCCAUCUCUC